CACGACCAACGCCCAGCUGCUAGGAGAAGGAAGGAGCCUGCCUCGCAGAGCUCUCCACACAUCUGAUUGCAUUCCAUACCUCCUGUGUCAUCUAGCUAUAGCAUGCUAUAACUGUAAUAUCUACAAGGCAGAAAAUAAUAGACCUCUUUGUUUUGGGGAUCUUUUAGAACAUAAAAUGGAGAAAUAAGUACGAAAUGGCUGUCUUGAGGGAAGCUUCCUCUGCGGAGCCUUUGGUCACCUCCUCUCUCCCUCCUCCCUCUUCUUCCUCCUUCUUCUCUUCUGAAAUUGGAUUAUUCUGGAGCCUACAAGGCUCUUGUGCAACACAGGAACCCGUCCCAAGAGGGUCCAGGGCCAUCCUAGGCCUUGCUUUCUAAUGGGUGAGUAGUGAGGGCUGGAGGGGAUGUGGGGGACUUGGGUUAGCCUGCGGGGUAUGGGCAACUCAAGAGCAGGAUUGAGACUCACUCAGGUCUGAGCCUAAGUGUGUUUACAAUGCAACAUCUGGUCACCAUACAGACACUUGUGGCACAGGGACCCAGCAGGCAGCAAGAAGUUGGGGCCUAGAACAGAGCUCUGGUGAGAAGAGACAAAAAGAGACAGAAAAAAAAAAUCAAAGAAUUCAGCACUUAAAUGCUACUAAGGACUUUGAGGAAAGAGGUCUGGGGAUCCUGCUGUGGGCAGUUGGUGGCAUUGAGGAGGACAGCAAGGGACCUUUGCUCCAUGUAGAUGGGGACAAACUACUGCAGUUUCUUGAGUUUCCACAUGGGCAGCACCACUCAGCCGGGGCAGAGGUGUGGAGAGGUUCACUUUCAUAUUCUGCAUCCUAAAAGCACACUUAAGUCCUGUUUCGGAUGAGGGAGUUGAUUCUCAGUUUAGUGUAUACAUGCGGGUUAAUGGUUAGUUCAUCCUGAGUUAAUGCUUUCAGUCCACAUACCCUGGAGGAAUAUCAGCACAGGGUUGGCAUCAGCACAGGUCCUUAAUCCUAGCACUGGGAAGGCAGAGGCGAGCCAGCUCUGUAAGUUUGAAGCCAGCCAGGUCUACAUGGGUGAGUUGAAGACCAGCCUGAGCUACGUAGUGGGACUGACCCUGCCUUAAAUUAAACAAUAAGGCAAAGCAACCAACAACCAACCAAGCAGGCAAUAAAAACAACAAAGUAAGCAGCAGCUGUCCCUGAGCCUAGACAACCACAAGAUAAGGAAGGACUGCAGGGGACGAGAGAGGUAAAGCCAUCAGAGGGAGGGCCUUAGAAAUGUGGCUGACCACGGGUCUAGGGUGAGCGCUGAAGUGACAGACUGGUCCCAUAUCCCCUUUGCCUGCUGACUGAAGAUAAGAUGGAAGACAAGUUUUGUUUUUUAAAACUUUUUCUUGAUUAAUUGAUUGUGUGGGGCUGUAUCUGUCGCUGUGUGUCUGUGUAGAGAUCAGAAGUCAACUUGUGGCCGGACGGUGGUGGCACACACCUUUAAUCUCAGCACUUGGGAGGCAGAGGCAGGCGGAUCUCUGAGUUUGAGGCCAGCCUGGUCUACAGAGUGAGUUCCAGGACAGCCAGGGCUACACAGAGAAACCUUGUCUCGAAAAACAAAACAAAACAAACAAACAAAGAAGUCAACUUGUGGAAGUUGGUUC
rnacentral:lncRNA from 1 species